AAUGUGUAGAAAAUUUGAUCAUGAACAGUGGAGAAUUUUCACUUUAGGCAUAUGUGUAAUUUUUGGUGUUAUUUCCUUUGUAUUCGGUCCAUUAAAUACUUUAAUGAUGAAUGUAGGAUUUGAAGAACACUCCCGAAUCUUCUCAAGAAUGCUGAAAAAAGAGACCCAAUACGCCAACGUAAUAAUAGUAAUGACUUCUCUAAUGUGGAUGACGUUUAUUGUGAAUGCAGCCGUUCUUGUAAUGGUCAUAGCAGACAGGGCGUGUGGUCUAGAUUUCUACAUAGGCGUUACCAUAGCAACGAUGUUGAUAUCUCUGGUAACAUCGCUAUACUAUUUGGAGUAUUGUACCAAGUUCGAUGUGUACUGUUUCGAUCAUACCCCAGGAAGAGGGGCCAAUACGGACACGUUAGCUUCUGUAGUACUUUUUAUGUUAGGUUUUAUAUAUUUGGUAAUGCAAUUCUUGUUUUUAUAUGUUGUGUGGAAUUAUAGGAAGCAAAUUAGGGA